UUCCUUUCUGCUCUACCUUAGCAGCAGGAAAAGAUGACCUUGGAUUCCAGAGAGAGAGAGAAAAAAUAAGUGUUAUUAGCAGCCAACACUAGCAGAGUGGCUGUGAAGAGGCCAGGCCCGACAGCCAGUCUGGAUGUGUGGAUGCAGCAGUGCCUUUGACGGGUGGCUGGGAGAAACUGGCUCUGCCGGGGUGCUGUGGCUCUGAUGUCAGUAGACGGCUCAUAUUUCUUCUCCACCAGCUGCCGGGUUUGGACUCAGCUUGCCAUGCUUGCUUUACCCACUAAAUCAUCUUGCUAUCCCUAAAAGACCAAGAACUGACCAUAGAGUUGUCUGCGGUUCCCCCUCUUUGACAUCGGCAGGCUAAGGCGCAUCAGUGAAUAGAUGCAACGCAGCAGCUCUAAGAAGAUGCUCUCAGGGAGAUCAAAAAACAGCAAAGGAGAUAAAGACAAGGGCGCUCAGGCAAACCGAAGCCCCAGCCCUACAGCUACCGAAAACAGUCGACAGCCUGGAGCAGCAUAAGGUUACUAGAAAGUGAAAUAAGUCAGCUCUCAUGACAUGGCAAUAGUCCUAACACAUGGGAGAAAGAGGAGGGAGAAUCAAGGAGUUCAAGGUCAUCCUUGGAUAUAUAGUAAGUUUGAAGCCAGCGUGGGCUACAUGAGAUCAUGAGACUCUGUUUCAGAAAAAAAGGAGCGCCAGUGUGGCUCGAACCUGCAUGGAAGAUGACGUGAGGACAGUUUUUCUUUUAGGUGCACAUGGCUCAGCAUUUCACAGCGAUCCCAGGGCUUAGGUGAGAACAAUAUAUUUGAGCAAAGCCGCUUGAAAUACCAGAAAAAAAAAAAAAGUGGCUAUUAGGUAAUCUCUAUGACAUGAAAGCAAGAGAAGUAUAGAAGAUUAAAAGGAAUAUAAAGUUUGUUUGGGCAUAUGCACCGUGGAGUCCAUGGGAUGGAACAGCUUUGGAUGGAGCCAGAUGCCAGAGAGUAAACUUACUGAAAAUGGGGUUGUUUUUGAGAACUUGACUGUGCACGUCUGAAGUAUGAAUGAUGUGGAAGAUAAUGCCAUUUUGCAAUGUCUACACAUCUGCCAUCCAUUUCACGGUACUACUUUCCCAGGGAGGCUGCUGAUACCUUGUCAGCGGAUAGCAGUGUUCCCGGGUGAAUCCUGGUCUAUAAAGAGGAUCUUCUGCCCCUAGACUUGUAAAGUCAAUAUAAAACAAACAGGAAAUUAAUCUGAAAUACCCCAUUGUGCUUAUAAACUCAGAUUUUAUAUCCUUUUGGCAUAAUAUAGCAAAAACUCAUCAGCUCCUAAUUUUAUUACGGGCCUAUAAGAGCCAGGAUGUCAAUUUGAAAGAGGGCCACAUACACCUCCAACUGGUUUGGGGGGGACAUUAAUGAGUGUACUAGUUACUUUUCUCCUUGUUACUGAGUGCCUGACCAGAACAGCUGAAGGAGAGAAGGGCCGGCUUGGGCUUCUGUCGGCAUGGUGCGUCUAUCAUGGUGGGCAAUCAUGGAGGCGGGACGUUGAAGCAGGCGGCUCACUGUGUCUUCAGUCAGGAAGUAAAGAAAGAAGAGUGCUGUGCUAAGCUCGUUCUCUGUUUUCAUUUGGACCCGAGUCCUGGGGAGGUUGCCGGCCACAGUUCAGGUGGGCCUCACCACUUUAAUGAAACCGAAUCUAGACACUCUCUCAGAGACAUGCCCACAGCUUGGUCCCGAAGGUGAGUCUUUGCCCCUCGAGCUGACAGUCAGU